rnacentral:rRNA from 1 species
GUGUCAGCAGCCGCGGUAAUACGGAGGGUGCAAGCGUUGUUCGGAAUUAUUGGGCGUAAAGAGCGUGUAGGCGGCCGGGUAAGUCAGAUGUGAAAUCCUUCUGCUUAACAGAAGAAGUGCAUUUGAUACUGUCCGGCUUGAGUACGGGAGAGGAAAGUGGAAUUCCCGGUGUAGAGGUGAAAUUCGUAGAUAUCGGGAGGAACACCGGUGGCGAAGGCGGCUUUCUGGUCCGAUACUGACGCUGAGACGCGAAAGCGUGGGGAGCAAACAGGAUUAGAAACCCUCGUAGUCC